AUUGAACGCUGGCGGCAUGCCUUACACAUGCAAGUCGAACGGCAGCACGGGGGCAACCCUGGUGGCGAGUGGCGAACGGGUGAGUAAUGCAUCGGAACGUACCUGGUAGUGGGGGAUAGCUCGGCGAAAGCCGGAUUAAUACCGCAUACGCACCAAGGUGGAAAGCGGGGGACCGAAAGGCCUCGCGCUAUCAGAGCGGC
rnacentral:rRNA from 1 species